rnacentral:rRNA from 1 species
CGUGGGGAACCUGCCCCAUAGUCUGGGAUACCACUUGGAAACAGGUGCUAAUACCGGAUAAGAAAGCAGAUCGCAUGAUCAGCUUUUAAAAGGCGGCGUAAGCUGUCGCUAUGGGAUGGCCCCGCGGUGCAUUAGCUAGUUGGUAAGGUAAAGGCUUACCAAGGCGAUGAUGCAUAGCCGAGUUGAGAGACUGAUCGGCCACAAUGGAACUGAGACACGGUCCAAACUCCUACGGGAGGCAGCAGCC